rnacentral:lncRNA from 1 species
CUGCGGCGGGAGGACGACGGUCCUCUGGGCCCAUUUGGCGGCCUGGGGGGCAGCCGCCGACGGCGCAGAGGAGGAGGCGACCUCGCACCGGACGGCGCCACGCGCGCCACGGCGGGGCCGCCCGGAGGCGGAGGAGAUGACGGCCGGAGCUGCGCCGCGGCGGGGUCGCACGGAGGCGGAGGAGAUGACGGCCGGAGCCCGCGCGAUUGCAGCCGAGUGCAUGGUCUGAUUGCGCGGCGGCGGCGGCGGGAGGAACGCGGGGAGCGGCCGAGCGGG